CCUACGAGAUGCAGCAGUGGGGAAUAUUGGGCAAUGGGCGCAAGCCUGACCCAGCAACGCCGCGUGAAGGAAGAAGGCUUUCGGGUUGUAAACUUCUUUUCUCAGGGACGAAGAAAGUGACGGUACCUGAGGAAUAAGCCACGCCUAACUACGUGCCAGCAGCCGCGGUAAUACGUAGGUGGCAAGCGUUAUCCGGAUUUACUGGGUGUAAAGGGCGUGUAGGCGGGACUGCAAGUCAGAUGUGAAAACCACGGGCUCAACCUGUGGCCUGCAUUUGAAACUGUAGUUCUUGAGUACUGGAGAGGCAGACGGAAUUCCUAGUGUAGCGGUGAAAUGCGUAGAUAUUAGGAGGAACACCAGUGGCGAAGGCGGCUUACUGGACUGUAACUGACGCUGAGGCUCGAAAGCGUGGGGAGCAAACAGGAUUAGAUACCCCUGUAGUC
rnacentral:rRNA from 1 species